GCCAGGUGUGGUGACAUGCACCUGUAGUCCCCGCUACCCGAAAGGCUGAGGUUCAAGGAUCACUUGAGCCCGGGAGUUCUGGACUGUAGUGGGCUAUGCCACUCUAGUGUCUGCAAUAUGUUUGGCAUCAAUAUGGUGACCUCCUGGGAGUGGGGGACCACCAGGUUGCCUAAGGAGAGGUGGCCAGGUUGGAAAUGGAGCAAGUAAAAGCUCCUGUGCUGAUUGUUAGUGGGAUCGUGCCUGUGAAUGGACAUUGUACUCCAGGCUGGGCAACAUAGCAAGACCCCAUCUCU
rnacentral:SRP_RNA from 1 species